UACAGAGGUCUCAAGCGUUGUUCGGAUUCAUUGGGCGUAAAGGGUGCGUAGGCGGCGCGGUAAGUCGGGUGUGAAAUUUCGAGGCUUAACUUCGAAACUGCAUUCGAUACUGCCGUGCUAGAGGACUGGAGAGGAGACUGGAAUUUACGGUGUAGCGGUGAAAUGCGUAGAUAUCGUAAGGAAGACCAGUGGCGAAGGCGGGUCUCGUGGACAGUUCCUGACGCUGAGGCACGAAGGCCAGGGGAGCAAACGGG
rnacentral:rRNA from 1 species